UACGAAGGGGGCUAGCGUUGCUCGGAAUGACUGGGCGUAAAGGGCGCGUAGGCGGCUUGCACCGUCAGAUGUGAAAUUCCUGGGCUUAACCUGGGGGCUGCAUUUGAUACGUGUGGGCUUGAGUGCGGAAGAGGGUCGUGGAAUUCCCAGUGUAGAGGUGAAAUUCGUAGAUAUCGGGAGGAACACCAGUGGCGAAGGCGAGUCCCUGGACAACACCUGACACUGAGGCACGAAAGCUAGGGGAGCAAACAGG
rnacentral:rRNA from 1 species